AUAAAUCCUCCAGGGAUUAUCGGUAUCUCUCAGAUUGGCAGUUGGACCACCGAGCUGCCAGCAGUGGCCCUAGGUCACCUUUAGAUCAGAGGUCUCCAUAUGGCUCCAGGUCCCCAUUUGAACAUUCAGCUGAACACAGAAGUACGCCUGAACACACCUGGAGUAGUCGGAAGACAUGACAGAAGCUCAUGAGUUUGUCUUCCGGGACUUUGUUUUAGCCAUAGAUCAUAAACCAACACAGUAAUUGCCUUACAUGACUUGAAAGAUUCAAACAGCUCUUCUGUCAGUAGCAGUAUUGUUACUUCUCUCCAGGACGCAAGGUCUAUUAUCCCAACAGAAGAGAAAAUAUUUUUAUAUUUAAGGAUUAUGCUGCACUGUACUGCGAUACUGCAGUACCUUUUUUUUCUUUUUUUAAAGAAAUGGAAAAUGUUUACUAUGCCAGGGACCUCAGCACUGCCCUCCCGUGUAGGCUGUAUAAAACUGUUUUUAUGUCAGUGAUUUUAGACUGACUCCAUUUAAAUUAUGUUUGUAUAUGAACUUUACUCUGACCUGUGAUCAUGUUUCAGGAAGGAAUAAAAGAGAGGUCUUUUCUUAAUAAAGAAAAAUCACUCAAGGACUUUGUUCACUUUCCAAAGCUACUUGUUUACAUUGUACACUGCGACCACCUUGCCGCUCCCAUCACAAGCUUGAAUAUUUAAAUCCUGUACUUAAGUUUGUAAUAUAGCCGGGAAUUUCCUGUCUGUGAUUAUUAUUAUGCCUUUUUACAGAAGAAGAUGGCUGUAAAUUAUUGUAAAUGGAUUAAAUGAGCUGCCCUGCCCUGCCCUUCUCAGGCUUCUUUUGACUGUUCCUUUCCCUACCAACUCAGGCCUUCUUAUUAAAAAAAAAAAUCAGUGUAAUAACACUUUUUAAUGAUUUGUCUUGAUGGAAUCAUUGUUUAGAAUGUAAAAAUGGGGAAAGGGGCCACUUAUUUCUUUUAGUCCUUUUUAUAUUGAGUAUUUUUAUUAGAUACAUGUUUUGCCCCUCCUUUUUAAAGUCAAUAUUGUGUUUGUAGUUUUACAGAAGCAGUGGCGAGGGUUACAUGUGAGACAAACUCGGUGCUCUGGGAGAGUCCCCAGUGCAUUGGGUUGAAAGGGUGGUAGGUGUAUGAACACUUAAAAUCCAAACGGCCAAACGUUCUUGUAAAUGCAUUGCUUUUCCCUUUCAUGUGGGCAAUAAUGUCAAACGUGCUAUGCAGCCAGGUUAACAUUUGAGGUAAACUUGAUUGGCUUUAAUAUAAAAACUGUUACAGUACACACUGAUUGUAUAUAAAAACCUUAUAUAUGACAAAUUAAAUUUUAAGAAAAAGG
rnacentral:lncRNA from 1 species